rnacentral:rRNA from 1 species
AUUGAACGCUGGCGGCAGGCCUAACACAUGCAAGUCGAGCGGAUGAAGGGAGCUUGCUCCUGGAUUCAGCGGCGGACGGGUGAGUAAUGCCUAGGAAUCUGCCUGGUAGUGGGGGAUAACGUCCGGAAACGGGCGCUAAUACCGCAUACGUCCUGAGGGAGAAAGUGGGGGAGCUUCGGACCUCACGCUAUCAGAUGAGCCUAGGUCGGAUUAGCUAGUUGGUGGGGUAAAGGCCUACCAAGGCGACGAUCCGUAACUGGUCUGAGAGGAUGAUCAGUCACACUGGAACUGAGACACGGUCCAGACUCCUACGGGAGGCAGCAGUGGGGAAUAUUGGACAAUGGGCGAAAGCCUGAUCCAGCCAUGCCGCGUGUGUGAAGAAGGUCUUCGGAUUGUAAAGCACUUUAAGUUGUGAGGAAGGGCAGUAAGUUAAUACCUUGCUGUUUUGACGUUACCAACAGAAUAAGCACCGGCUAACUUCGUG